CAGUCGCCACGGGAAUACGGAGGGUGCAAGCGUUAAUCGGAAUUACUGGGCGUAAAGCGUGCGCAGGCGGUUAUGCAAGACAGAUGUGAAAUCCCCGGGCUCAACCUGGGAACUGCAUUUGUGACUGCAUAACUAGAGUACGGCAGAGGGGGAUGGAAUUCCGCGUGUAGCAGUGAAAUGCGUAGAUAUGCGGAGGAACACCGAUGGCGAAGGCAAUCCCCUGGGCCUGUACUGACGCUCAUGCACGAAAGCGUGGGGAGCAAACAGGAUUAGAUACCCCGGUAGUCCCUGUCUCUUAUAC
rnacentral:rRNA from 1 species